ACAGAGAUCCUGAUCCAGUCCAUCAACUACGACGGGAAGGUCUGGAAAGAGGCCACCGUGCACCCAAAGUGAACUCCAUGAUGGAGACGGACUCUCAGAA
rnacentral:ribozyme from 1 species